GACGAACGUUGGCGGCGUGCUUAACACAUGCAAGUCGAACGGAAAGGUCCUGCUUUUGUGGGGUGCUCGAGUGGCGAACGGGUGAGUAACACGUGAGUAACCUGCCCUUGACUUUGGGAUAACUUCAGGAAACUGGGGCUAAUACCGGAUAGGAGCUCCUGCUGCAUGGUGGGGGUUGGAAAGUUUCGGCGGUUGGGGAUGGACUCGCGGCUUAUCAGCUUGUUGGUGGGGUAGUGGCUUACCAAGGCUUUGACGGGUAGCCGGCCUGAGAGGGUGACCGGCCACAUUGGGACUGAGAUACGGCCCAGACUCCUACGGGAGGCAGCAGUGGGGAAUAUUGCACAAUGGGCGGAAGCCUGAUGCAGCAACGCCGCGUGCGGGAUGACGGCCUUCGGGUUGUAAACCGCUUUCGCCUGUGACGAAGCGUGAGUGACGGUAAUGGGUAAAGAAGCACCGGCUAACUACGUG
rnacentral:rRNA from 1 species